AACGAACGCUGGCGGCAUGCCUAACACAUGCAAGUCGAACGAGACCUUCGGGUCUAGUGGCGCACGGGUGCGUAACGCGUGGGAACCUGCCCUUAGGUUCGGAAUAACUCCCCGAAAGGGGUGCUAAUACCGGAUAAUGUCUUCGGACCAAAGAUUUAUCGCCUUUGGAUGGGCCCGCGUUGGAUUAGCUAGUUGGUAGGGUAAAAGCCUACCAAGGCGACGAUCCAUAGCUGGUCUGAGAGGAUGAUCAGCCACACUGGGACUGAGACACGGCCCAGACUCCUACGGGAGGCAGCAGUGGGGAAUAUUGGACAAUUGGCGAAAGCCUGAUCCAGCAAUGCCGCGUGAGUGAUGAAGGCCUUAGGGUUGUAAAGCUCUUUUACCCGGGAUGAUAAUGACAGUACCGGGAGAAUAAGCGCCGGCUAACUCCGUG
rnacentral:rRNA from 1 species